ACCCACAUGGUGGUGGAGAAGACUGACUUCCACAAGUUGUCCUGUGUCCUGGACAUGAACUCAGUGGUAGAAACCAGACCCACAACCACUUGGGGAUCCACCCACACUCCCCCUUCCACUUAGUGCCUUUCUGGCUACUGCUGUCAAAAAUAGAUUUGUGAUCCAGCCAUAUCCAUGGGCCACCUGACACCGCUCAUCCCCUAACUCCAUCCUUUAAGAGAUACACAGUCUAUAUCUACAGAAGUGUAAACCCAAGAUGGAAAACUCCAGUGAGUGGGCAGAGGGCGUGGUCAGUAUGGAGCCCCACCUACCCCCCCAAGCUUCACCAACCACAAAAACCAAGUGGCUCCAGAAAUUUCCCAGAAACUCACGCCCCCAAGUCUUUCAGAAACCAGAGGCAAAAGGAAUAUUUUCCAACCAGUUUGUGAGGCAGCCAGGCCUGGUGGACCACACUGGCAUCCCACUGAAGAACGCUGAUGCAGGAGGAUGACGAGCUGCAGGCUAGUUAGUGCUACAUAGCUAGAUCCUGUUCAGAUGUGGGCAGUGGUGAGUCUGUCCCAACCAUGAGUGAAGGCACUUGGCACCCAGUCAGAGGCCUGAGUUCUGCCCUGGGACUCUCACAAGGUGACCUCUGACCUCUAGGAGUACAUGACCCACACACAAAUGUAUGACAUAAUUUUUACAAUUUGA